rnacentral:lncRNA from 1 species
GCGAGACCACGAGCCCACCAGGAGGAACGAACAACUCCAGACCCGCUGCCUUAAGAGCUGUUAACAGUCACCGCGAAGGUCUGCAGCUUCACUCCUGAGCCAGCGAGACCACGAGCCCACCUGGAGGAACGAACAACUCCAGACCCGCUGCCUUAAGAGCUGUAGCAGUCACCACGAAAGUCUGCAGCUUCACUCCUGAGCCAGCGAGACCGCGAACCCACCAGAAGGAAGAAAUUCCGAACAUAUCCGAACAUCAGAAGGAACAAACUCCAGACGCGCCACCUUAAGAGCUGUAACACUCACCGCGAGGGUCCGCGGCUUCAUUCUUGAUGUCAGCAAGACCAAGAACCCACCAAUUCUGGACACAAAACCUCAAGUAGUCCCUCCACCGAAAGCACAUUAUAAGGAUCAUUUUGCCUCAAAGCCCUCCUACAGGCAAGAGGAGCUUACUGUGACUUCCAAGAAGAAAAUGAUGUUGUGGCAUGAAGCACUUCUCUGAUCAUAUCACUGCUGUACUAAAGGUAUGGAAUGUAUUCGGUGUUGAGGAGUUUGGACAGUACAGCAGCAGCUGCUCUAGGAUAUCAAUCCCUGAGAUGCUAUGAUUGCAGGCUGCUGAUGACUUGCAGCCACGCUUUUCUCCAACAAGUUGCCUUUUGAUUGAGGAAAGUCAUCUGACCUAAGAAGUUAUCUACCUGCACCCCAAGCCACAGUCAAUGCCCCACCGACAUCAGAGUAUAAAAGGCCCUAGCCUCGAGGUGUGGAUUAUUCUGCCGUAUGCUUUAUAUGCCAAAGUCUCCCUGUGUGUCAUGCCAAGCCUUUCCUCUUUGCUGUCCUGCUUUAUAUGCAUCUUUGCAGGCUUUUCCUAAAGAAAAGCCUUGAAUAAAUCAUCUGCAUGAG